rnacentral:rRNA from 1 species
UUCCGGUUGAUCCUGCCGGAGGCUACCGCUAUUGGAGUUCGAUUAAGCCAUGCGAGUCGCGAGUCUUAGGGACUCGGCGUACCGCUCAGUAACACGUGGGUAACCUGCCCUAUGCUGGGGGAUAACCUCGGGAAACUGAGAAUAAUACCCCAUAGUUCACCACGCCUGGAACGGUGGGUGGACCAAAGCUCCGGCGGCAUAGGAUGGGCCUGCGGCGUAUCAGGUUGUAGGGGGUGUAAUGUACCCUCUAGCCAUCUACGCGUACGGGUGUUGGGAGACAUCGCCCGGAGAUGGAUUCUGAGACACGAAUCCAGACCCUACGGGGUGCAGCAGGCGCGAAAACUUGGCAAUGCGAGCAAUCGUGACCAGGGAACUCCAAGUGCAUCGGGUAAGACCGAUGCUUUUCUUGACUCUUCAAAGGUCUUGGAAUAAGGGGUGGGUAAGGACGGUGCCAGCCGCCGCGGUAAUACCGGCGCCUCAAGUGGUAGUCGCUUUUAUUGGGCCUAAAACGUCCGUAGCCGGUUUGGUACAUUCGUGGGUAAAUCAAGGCGCUCAACGUCUUGAAUUCUGCGAGCACGGCCAGACUUGGGACCGGGUGAGGUGUGGGGUACUCUCAGGGUAGGGGUAAAAUCCUGUCAUCCUGAGAGGACCACCUGUUGCGAAGGCGCCACACUAGAACGGAUCCGACGGUCAGGGACGAAGCCUAGGGGCACGAACCGGAUUAGAUACCCGGGUAGUCCUAGGUGUAAACGCUGUGGACUUGGUGUUGGGGAUGAUCCGAUCAUUCUCAGUGCCGAAGCGAAGGUGAUAAGUCCACUGCCUGGGGAGUACGGUCGCAAGGCUGAAACUUAAAGGAAUUGGCGGGGGAGCACUGCAACCUGAGGAUUGUGCGGUUUAAUUGGAUUCAACGCCGG